AUUUCGAAACUUGACCUCAAAUCAGGUAGGACUACCCGCUGAACUUAAGCAUAUCAAUAAGCGGAGGAAAAGAAACUAACAAGGAUUCCCCUAGUAACUGCGAGUGAAGCGGGAAGAGCUCAAAUUUUGAAUCUGGCAGUCCUUGGCUGUCCGAGUUGUAAUCUAGAGAAGUGUUUUCCGCGCUGGACCGUGUAUAAGUCUCCUGGAAGGGAGCGUCAUAGAGGGUGAGAAUCCCGUCUUUGACACGGACUACCAGUGCUAUGUGAUGCGCUCUCGACGAGUCGAGUUGUUUGGGAAUGCAGCUCAAAUUGGGUGGUAAACUCCAUCUAAAGCUAAAUACAGGCGAGAGACCGAUAGCGAACAAGUACCGUGAGGGAAAGAUGAAAAGAACUUUGGAAAGAGAGUUAAACAGUACGUGAAAUUGCUGAAAGGGAAACGCUUGAUGUCAGUCGCGUCGGCCGGGGAUCAACCUUGCUUCUCGCUCGGUGUAUUUCCUGGUCGACGGGUCAGCAUCAGUUUCGGUCGCCGUACAAGGGCGAGGGGAACGUGGCACUCCUCGGAGUGUGUUAUAGCCUUUCGUCGCAUGCGGUGGUCGGGACUGAGGAGCUCAGCACGGCUUCCGCUUGUGCUCAGGAUGCUGGCAUAAUGGCCUUAAGCGACCCGUCUUG
rnacentral:rRNA from 1 species